UGGGGAAUAUUGGACAAUGGGCGCAAGCCUGAUCCAGCCAUGCCGCGUGAGUGAUGAAGGCCUUAGGGUUGUAAAGCUCUUUCACCGGUGAAGAUAAUGACGGUAACCGGAGAAGAAGCCCCGGCUAACUUCGUGCCAGCAGCCGCGGUAAUACGAAGGGGGCUAGCGUUGUUCGGAUUUACUGGGCGUAAAGCGCACGUAGGCGGAUCGAUCAGUCAGGGGUGAAAUCCCAGGGCUCAACCCUGGAACUGCCUUUGAUACUGUCGAUCUGGAGUAUGGAAGAGGUGAGUGGAAUUCCGAGUGUAGAGGUGAAAUUCGUAGAUAUUCGGAGGAACACCAGUGGCGAAGGCGGCUCACUGGUCCAUUACUGACGCUGAGGUGCGAAAGCGUGGGGAGCAAACA
rnacentral:rRNA from 1 species